rnacentral:tRNA from 1 species
CAUUAGAUGACUGAAAGUAAGUACUGGUCUCUUAAACCAUUUUAUAAUAGAUUGACAACUAUUUCUAAUG